CUACUCUAGACCAAUCGCGUUCGUUUCGCACUACGAAGUUGUCAUCGUGGUUAUUCAAUCUAAGCGUUGGUAAUGAAUCGUGCGAAAUGCACGAUCUUUUCGCGCCAAGCAGUCAGCCAUGGGCACAUAUCGACCCAUAUUUCUUGACAUUUCUUGCAUCUUUUAUCCGUCGAAAGUGAGUCUCGCGCGUUAAUAAGUCUCGGAAGUGUCGAGAAUAGCGAUGUGCGAUCGCCGGGCCGUAUCAUGAAGACGUCAUUUGGUGAUGCUUAUGGAGCGUGUGUCGAUCGAGAAACGUUCAUAGACGUUCAAAUGAUGCCAGUGAAUAGCAAAGCUCAUUAAUCUUCGCGACGAAAAAUAGACGCAAUCUGCAGAUAUAACCUCAAUUACAGGAUGAUGCUUGUAAAGCGUGCGUCGAUUGAGAAACGUUCGCGGCAUUCAAGUGGCAUCGAUGUGAAAGAAGGGAGUGAUAAAAACACAAUCAAAUAUUCUACGCAAACGUAUCAGGAAAACUAUUCUUGCAUUCUGAGCAACAAAAUUGCGCGACAACGCCGAAUUAUGAAACAAGAGAAGAAACGCAAUCGUGCUCCUUGAUGCUUGAACGCAAGAGGUUGAAGUAAUAGAAAGAUCUGGCGGAGGCGCCCUCCACCUCCCCCUCCCCGCGACGGAUGUGUAGCUCUGGUGGAUGCAGAUGCAGCACCGGAGGAUCCGGUUCGGGCCGAGCUGGGUCGGCUGGAAGAUACGUUUCACCGACUAUCUCUACCUCCCCUCUGCGGUCGAAAGACGAGAUACAGCCGUCAGAACGAGGCUCGAAUUACGACCGUAAAGGGCUAAUCCACCGGUAUCUAUGCGGAGCUUGUUCGUUAAGCCGAAUCCCUAAUUCUAACCGGCAAAACUGUAUUCUUUGUUCCACAUCUGGUUGUAGCGAAAGCUACGUGGCCGACCCCGAAUUCCAGCUGCUUCACUGAGAUUCAAUAGAACAGACGCAGUCACGCGGCUCUAGGGGAUGCGAUACCUGGGGGGAGGAUUCGGUUCGGGCCUGUCUGAGUCGGCUCGAAGGUGUUUCCAUUCAGUCCCGAGCCGGCGAGUAACACGCACACACACCACGGACUACGUGCGUCGGUGCGUCAUCUAUUGCUCCUCUGAACAGUCAAAACAUUUGGGAUCUUCAAGACGAUCAACUUUGCCUUUGUGUCUCGCGGACUAUUCCGGGCGCUUCCAUUCAGUUCCGAGCCGGAGAGAGACGCGUAUACUAUAGACUACGCGUGUCAGUGCGUUACUUAUUGCUCCUCUCGGGUGAUUAAACUAUUCCGUCGGUACUCUGAGAUACUUAAUUAAUCUCUCGUCUGCGUCGCGUUAUUUAACACGUGCACCUUCGGUUGAAUCAUGUCUGCGCGAGUGUCAGUGUCAGUGCCGCGACGGAGCAGCCAGGAUGUUGGUGCCAGGAGCCAGGGUAGAGGACGCAGGAGGCCGGGACGUGGUACAUCAUAUAAUUCCAAGAUAUUUCUCCUCUCAUCAUGGGGACGGAAUACUCGAGGAAUCGUGAAUCCGAAUGAUGAAAAUUGAGAGAGAUUCGCCAGGAGAACAUGGAAAAUUUCAAAAUCUCGACGAGAACGACACGAUCUUUCGCAUGCCGCGGGUUUAAUUUCAAUCAGAUACCUCUCUGCCCUCCUCCUCCUCUCCUUUUUUCUAUAUUUUUUGUUUCUUUCUCUUUUUGCGAAAAUUCGCUUCCCCCGACGUAAUUUCCAAGAUAUUUAAUCUUCGUGGGCUUCAAGCCAACGCGACACCGGUGUGAUGUCCGACUGGACUUCGUUAUAAUUAACAAGGGAACGUUCCGCGAACGCGGAUAUUCUCUCUUCUCUUUUUCCCGCUGAGCAGCGGGAUCCUCUUUGUGAGCCGCGUAUGUCAGAAUAUCGAUUCGUUCGGGGGAUGCUGAAUAGCUGGAAUUAACAAGACGAAUAACAUCAGAAACCGACUCGCGCGUACCACGCAGUUGCCGCCCACAUGUCCCUCGACUCCCCCAUCACCUCCUCUCUCUCUCUCUC